GACGAACGCUGGCGGCGUGCUUAACACAUGCAAGUCGAGCGGAAAGGCUCCUUCGGGGGUACUCGAGCGGCGAACGGGUGAGUAACACGUGAGUAAUCUGCCCUGGACUCUGGGAUAGCCACCGGAAACGGUGAUUAAUACCGGAUAUGACCACUAUCCGCAUGGGUUGGUGGUGGAAAGUUUUUUCGGUUCAGGAUGUGCUCGCGGCCUAUCAGCUUGUUGGUGAGGUAAUGGCUCACCAAGGCUUUGACGGGUAGCCGGCCUGAGAGGGUGACCGGUCACACUGGGACUGAGACACGGCCCAGACUCCUACGGGAGGCAGCAGUGGGGAAUAUUGGACAAUGGGCGGAAGCCUGAUCCAGCAACGCCGCGUGAGGGAUGACGGCCUUCGGGUUGUAAACCUCUUUCAGUACCGACGAAGCGAGAGUGACGGUAGGUACAGAAGAAGGACCGGCCAACUACGUGCCAGCAGCCGCCGUAAAAC
rnacentral:rRNA from 1 species